rnacentral:rRNA from 1 species
AGGGAAUCUUCCGCAAUGGACGAAAGUCUGACGGAGCAACGCCGCGUGAGCGAUGAAGGCCUUCGGGUCGUAAAGCUCUGUUGUUAGGGAAGAACAAGUAUCAGUUAACUGCUGGUACCUUGACGGUACCUAACGAGAAAGCCACGGCUAACUACGUGCCAGCAGCCGCGGUAAUACGUAGGUGGCAAGCGUUGUCCGGAUUUAUUGGGCGUAAAGCGCGCGCAGGCGGUUCUUUAAGUCUGAUGUGAAAGCCCCCGGCUCAACCGGGGAGGGUCAUUGGAAACUGGGGAACUUGAGUGCAGAAGAGAAGAGCGGAAUUCCACGUGUAGCGGUGAAAUGCGUAGAGAUGUGGAGGAACACCAGUGGCGAAGGCGGCUCUUUGGUCUGUAACUGACGCUGAGGCGCGAAAGCGUGGGGAGCAAAC